rnacentral:rRNA from 1 species
AUGCUGAUCCACGUCGACCGGGUGGAAGAUUGGACGCCUCUCUCCCCGCGCUCCUCCCACUCUGGCCAGAGUGGGCUGCUGUCAUCUGACUCCGAUGGCGACGACCGGCCGUUCCCCAUGGUGGCCCCGGGCACUUGGACCAUGGAGGUGGAGGAUGGCCAGCGUGCUGAGCGCCAGCAGCGCCUGGCUCGUGCCCCGGUGGCGGACCUGGGUUGCCGCGGCAUGCUGCGGGGCGGCCCUGGCCGCGAUCAAGAUGGAGCGGGUGGCAGCGGUGGCGGCGGGCGCCGCUCCUGGAAGGACACCUUGCUGCGCCGCGGACGCACCCCGGCCCCGCAGACACAGCCUACUGCCCCUCGCCGGCGGAGCCGCUCCCCCCCUGCGAAACGCCGCUCCAAGGGCCCGAGAGGGCGGCGCCAUGAUGAUAGGAGAUCAUCGAUGGCACCGCAGCGUCGCGACGAUCGGAGGCGCUCCACCCCACCACCUCCCCCUCCGCCCCCUGCACCAGCCGGCUCCGGCAAAAAUGGCAAGGACCCGGUGGAGGAUUUCUUCAAGCAGGCGAAGAGGCCACUAGUCGCCUCUGUGGUGGUGGACUGCAUGGCGGCUGACGUGCAGGCGGUGGCUGAUGCUGCUGUCGUUGCACCGCUGGACUUCAACGACGGCCAGCAGGUAGAAGAGGGGGGGCCGGUGGCACAGCCAGAUGCGUUCGGCCCCACGCUGUCUGGCCCUCCGCCGCCCAUCGGCCAGUUCAACCGCCACGCCCCUGCUUCGGCGCGCACCAUGGAGCUCCAGCUGGGCGCGGUGACAAGCCGCGUCUGUCAGCUGGAGAUCACUGAAGCUGAAGCUGAUGAAAGCACCGAGCCGCGCCGCCUCUUCCGCAAGACCCAGGCCCCGCUCGUUGCUUCAUCGCCGACACGCAGGCCAUCGGCUCCUCCAAAGUCCCGUGCUGAGUCGGUGCCUUCCCGCCAGAGCGCACGUCAGGCAGCCCUCGCGUCAUCGGUGCCGGUGGCGCAGCGUGCUUCCCUGCGCAUUGUCAAGGAGCUGGGGCUGCUGGGACCAAAGCAGAAGAUGUCACCAGAGGUGGCUGAGGCACUGAUCCGGCGUUUCGAUGAGCCCCUGACAGACAACGACAUUGCUGUCAUUGCCAAGCUCACGCGUCUGGACGUAAGUGCUUUGCGUGUCGCAGCUGCCAUGGCUGGACCUGAAGGAGCUGCCGAGGAGGCCGUAGUUUAG